rnacentral:rRNA from 1 species
AACGCGAAGAACCUUACCUGGGUUUGACAUGGCCGCAAAACUUCCAGAGAUGGGGGGUCCUUCGGGAGCGGUCACAGGUGGUGCAUGGCUGUCGUCAGCUCGUGUCGUGAGAUGUUGGGUUAAGUCCCGCAACGAGCGCAACCCUUAUCCCAUGUUGCCAGCGGGUUAUGCCGGGGACUCAUGGGAGACUGCCGGGGUCAACUCGGAGGAAGGUGGGGAUGACGUCAAGUCAUCAUGCCCCUUAUGUCCAGGGCUUCACGCAUGCUACAAUGGCCGGUACAAACCGUUGCGAGCCCGUGAGGGGGAGCGAAUCGGAAAAAGCCGGUCUGGUUCGGAUCGGGGUCUGCAACUCGACCCCGUGAAGUCGGAGUCGCUAGUAAUCGCAGAUCAGCACG